rnacentral:rRNA from 1 species
UGCCAGCCGCCGCGGUAAUACGGAGGGUGCAAGCGUUAUCCGGAUUUAUUGGGUUUAAAGGGUCCGUAGGCGGGUCUUUAAGUCAGUGGUGAAAGCCUGCAGCUCAACUGUAGAACUGCCAUUGAUACUGGAGACCUUGAGUACAGCUGAAGUUGGCGGAAUGUGUCAUGUAGCGGUGAAAUGCAUAGAUAUGACACAGAACACCGAUUGCGAAGGCAGCUAACUAAACUGUAACUGACGCUGAGGGACGAAAGCGUGGGGAGCGAACAGGAUUAGAUA